AUGUCUGGUCGUACAAAGAAGCAGGAGGCGAUGGGUUUCUUCAAACCCUAAAAUCCUUACUAAAACUCUCAAAUUGGAGGUGCAAAUCUGGUCCAAAACGAAAAUCGAGCAUAGAUUACCGAUCCCCAUUGCAAGGGGGUUGUAAGUUUGACUCUUGACAAGCUAGAUGGAGGCUUGGAAUGAAGCGGGUCAAACGGAGCAAGUAUGAAAAGGAAAGCGUAAUUUGGAUGCGAGGUAAGUAAAGCUUACGCCCUCUUUUGUAAGUUAUGUGUUUAUUCAUAGGUUGUAAAUACGACAAAAGCUAUAUUUGAAAUAUGGUUCCGACACGAAAUGAAACGGGUCGGGACAUAUAAAAUAAUGAUAAACCAUGUUUAAUGGUAAAAUGGGCGAAAUGGUAAUUGGUCACGAGAUGACCUAUAUAUAAAAUGAGUUUUUAAAUGGCUACUUAUUAAGGUAAGCCUAAACGAAUAAAAAGAGUAAAACGACGAAUUAGUCAUGUGUAGACGAAAAAGAGUUGAAGUUUAAAACAACACCAUUUAAUAUUAAGCACAAAAUAUUUGGUAGUCUAGACCAAACGGGUCAAAUUGUAAUAUUUAUACCAUUUGACAAUUAACGACUAAUAAGUGUAUGUCGAGUCUCAUGCUCGCAGGGUAAUUGGUUUAUGAAUUAGCGAGGCUAUGAAUUAGCAUAUUAUAGAGACAAGGUCUUAAAACGGGUCAAUAUGUUGACCCGAGCCAGGUACGCUUAUAUAUAUAGAUGUAUAGUUAAAAGUGUUUAACUUCCCUUCAUGGGUCAAAAGGAGUAGAUAGGUAAAACGGGUUAAGAAUUCAUAAGAAACCCGUAAUUUGAACCUUGCACAUUAGUAAAUUGAUAUAACGUGAUAUGCAUGAUAUUUUGAAUAUGAUUGAUUGAUCUUUGAUAUUGGUUCAUAUGUAACAUAUUAGAAUUUCGAGAAACUAAUGUAUUGGUAUGUUAGAAAGAGCGAAAUCCGAGAUUUAGGCUUGAGUAUAAUGAACAAAGCAACCAAAAGAUGGAUUUACAGGGACUACCGUAAGUUACGGUAGUACCGUAAGUUACGGUAGAGGUCAGGAGCUUACGGUGUGAGUCUACUGGUUUACGGUGGACCAUUAUUGGAAAUUGACUACCGUAGGGCCUGAAUGUUUAUAAAUUUUAUAUAAUUGUAAAUUUUCAAAUUCAUUUCGAUCGUAGUUUCGAUCAAGUAUCAUUUCUAAGCAUUCUAAUAUAAAUGUUUAUGUAAACAUUUCAGUCUUAGGUACUCAAGGAUUAUGGGUGACGAUCAAGCAACUUUUGAAGGACCGAACACAUACUCUUGAAGCUUCCGCAUAAAUCAACUCGGUUUAAACAAUGUUUAUGAUAUAAACUGUUUGCUAAACAACUUUUGAAAUGUUUAAACGACGUACUCAAUUAUGUUAUGUUGUAUUAUUUUAAAAUUGUAAAGUUUAAACAAACCCGUAUUUUUACAAAGUAUAUGUAGUCAUAAUUACAUGUUGUUUGUCGUAUACUUUACAAAAACCAUUAAAUAAUGACAAGGGUGUUACAAAUUGGUAUCAGAGCUCAUGGUUAAAGAGUAAAUUGUGUUCGGUUCGAGGCUUGAUCGCAAAUCCGGUAAGUACAUGUAUAUUAAUGGUUUGUUAUGUGUUGAAAUGUUGUGAACAACACAUAGGGUUAUCGUGUGAUACACGUUAUCUCAAUUAAAUGAUAAAUAUAGUUGACAAAAUUGCGCGCGUUGGCGCGUAUAGUAGAAAAGCCUUGUAUUAUAAUACGAGCGAUUAUUGAAGUUGAUAUUACUAAUUCUUGUAAAUGUUUUAAUUGAAGGACACUCGCAUCUGAAGAUAGCGAGAGUUUAACAAAUUGCAGAUAUGAUGAGGGAACGUUCCGAGAUGUGACAAGAAGAGCAUACUCAUCAAGGACCUAAAUCGCGUAACGAUCGCAAAUAAGUAAUGGUAAGGAAUGGCCGUUGGGGCAAGCAUUACCAGGUGCACAUUUUAAACUUAUAGUACAAACAGUAAUAUGCAACAAAUACAUAGUGAAUGACAGUUGCAUAUAGAAUAUGAAACUUGGAAAACCUGGAUAGGUCCUAUCCAGGAUGACGUUUCCAAGAGAAAUUCAGUAGAGAAUAUGUAUUAUUCACAAAUUGUGAAUAACAAGACAAUAACAGAAUUCAGUUUAUAUAGAAACUUGGACGAGAGUGAUCAUCCAUGUAAGUAUUCUCAAUAUAAAUCCUAUUGAGAAAAGUAAUGAUCACAUCAACGAAUGUGAAUAAAUGUUUAUAAAAAGGGACAUUUUAAAUGUUCAAGGAUAAACGACUAAAACUAAUAAUUGUUAACUAACAAUUAAAUAAAGUUUUACCAAAUGAAAUCAUAAAUAUGGAGAUAAUUUGAGGAGUUACUUACAUGGGACGUGAUGUGGUAAUUAUAAUAAGGUCACGCGUACCAUGUGUUGAUCGCUUACUCUGGCCAAGUAAGUAGUGAACACAUGAUAGCAUGAGCUUAUUAUAAUGAGCGCAGUUAUGUCCGAUGUAGUAAGGUCAAGAUGAAUGAAAAUUUAAAGGAUCCUUAGGGUCAAGAAAUCUUAUGGGCAUACUCGUAUAAAUGGUUUUCGCGGGAACCAUAAAAACGAUGUAUGGCGCACAUAGAAACAAAAGACCCAAGGAAAUUCGUGACAUAAGUCAUUUUGGACGAAACAACCAUGGUAGACAAAAAGGGCAUUGUAAAACCAAAGUAUAAAUGACCCGCGGGGUCAUAGAAACAAAGGUAUUGCCCACAUGAGAAAAACGAUCAAAGUCGUUGACUUUGGUCGUAGUAAAGAAAUAAUGAUGAUGAUAAUCAUCAUUCAUAGUUUAUAAGACUGUCAAGGAUGGUCAAAUAAAGAAUAAAGGUUUGGUUGAAUAAAAGCAAUGGAUUUCGCUAAGACAACCAAACAAAUUAAAACGAAAUCUUAAUGUAUACCGGAAUGCUUGCACUAAUAAUGACUUCGGUAAAGUACCCGGUUGAUGGGUAAGGAUUUAGAAACAUGCGUAAACCGAGAAACGGGAACACGAAUUUAAAGUCAAAAGACUCGGAUUACGAGUUAUGACUAUAAAAUCUCGUAUAUAGAAAUUGUGAGUAAAUAUGUUCAACUAUUCGAAGUCGAAUGGGUUGAAUAAAGAAUAAAGUUGAUUGUUUAUAAGUGAUGGAUUUCACAUUAAUAAGUCAAACAGGUUGAAUACAAUAUAACGCCGAAUGGCACAAGUGAGCGCUAGCCAGAGAAAGGUAGCGUUAAAUGCAAGAGAAUAAUGAGCCCGGUAAUGGGAUAUAACCAAAUAAGAAUAUAUGCAAAUCAAAUAACAGUAAGCAUAAGAAGAACUGACGCAUAAAUGACGUGAGAAGUCAUAAAAUCGGAAAAUCGUCCGAAAGAAAACAAUUAUAGCCAUGAAACUACAAUUAAGGUUAACGGGACCUAAGCUUGAAACCAAAUAAUUCUUCGAACAAAAACAGGGUGCCUUGACACCAAACAUGUGUUUUAAGAAUGACAUGAGUAAGGAGUGAUCUACGGGAUCAACAUAACCUUUAGGGUUACAAACAAAUGAAAGAUCUACGGGACUAAAACGACCCACGGGUCAUGAUUAGAAAGAAGUUAUAAGGACUUCGCCCUAAAGAGGUGAACGUCUAAUCAAAAUAGCCCAUAAGGCUAAGUGAUAAAAACCUACGGGUUAAUUAGAUAAAGCGAGGGAAUCAGUUGAGAAUCCCCGCAUAAAACUAAGACUGUAAAAGAAUAAAUUAUGGACUGUCAAUAUCCUGGUAUGGAUAAUUGACAAAAGUUAAAGAGAAGAUCCUAAAACUAAAACUUCGGUUUUAGUAAGAAAUAGCGUUUUUACAAACAUAAAUUCUGAUAGGAAUUUAAAAAGUAAGCAUGAAAGAUACAAGUCUUGACACUGAUAGGCGCAAGACGAUAUAUUCGAAAAGUGAUAUUUUCGAAAAUGAAAGGUUGAUACAAACUAAACACGAUGUGACACGAUCACGGUUAGGAAAUGUAAUGUGAAGUAAAAUAACGUUAUAACCAAGCGAGCGGUGAGAAGUAACGGGACUAAUAAGUCUAGUUAGUAAGACCGGUUAAGGCAAGUAAUUCAAAUCAAUAAAAAAAUUGGUUUGCUUGUAAGCGGUGGAUUCGGUAUAACUGAACCGAAUAAAUAAAUCUGAAAACAAAAGAAAUUAUUGCUAAAAGUGAAAUAUUUCACUAAAGACCUUUAAACGGGUCAAGGUAACGGAUUCACCAAGAGUUCGAUAAUAUAUAAAAGCGAUGGAAAUCGCUAAGUUAACUAAACUAGUAGAAAUAACGGAAUUACGUUAUUUCAAAUUACAUUAUGUCGUAUGAGGUACGUAGAGGUUCUGUAACCAAAAAGAUAUUACCAAAAUUUUUCUGGUAAUACUAACAAUUGGUUAAAAUAUGAAUAAUGCUUAAGAGAUUACUCAGGUCAAACGCAUUGAGUUUAGAACUCAAUGAACUAUGUAAGCAAGGUUUCGAGGACGAAACCUCUUUAAGGGGGGUAGACUUGUAACACCCCGAAAACGGGCUUGGUAAUUAAACUCUGUUAAUACUAAAAGACGGGUAACGUACCGUUAUUAGUAAAAAUAACCCGGCAAAUAUUUGGAUUUAAAUAAGAAAUCCUAAUAUUAAAUAAAAACGAAUCAAAGUUUUAAGUAAUUAAGUUUAUAAAAGGCCCGAUUUAACGGGACUUAAAGUAAAAGGGGUUACGACUUCCCGAACCUACUAAGCUAACUAGGAAUAAUUCUAACCUAGUUAGAUAGUGACUUAUGAGUGGGUUAAAACACUUAAAUUAUGAACUAAGGAAAAUGAAGGGGCCAAAGAUGUUAAAAUCGAAACUUAUGUUGCUAAUUUAAUUAAAACAAAAACCAAACACCCCAUUUGGGGAUGUCUGGUCGUACAAAGAAGCAGGAGGCGAUGGGUUUCUUCAAACCCUAAAAUCCUUACUAAAACUCUCAAAUUGGAGGUGCAAAUCUGGUCCAAAACGAAAAUCGAGCAUAGAUUACUGAUCCCCAUUGCAAGGGGGUUGUAAGGUAUGUAAAAUUUGAUGUUAAUUCUCUACUUGAAAUUCUCAUGAAUUUAGGAUAUUCGAAAUUUGUUGAUGCAUGUUCGUUAUAUGAUGAAAUAGGAACAUUGUAGUGUCUAGGAGUAAACCCUAGACAAGCAUAUGAUGAAAUUAGGUCUAAAUCUUGUGAAUUCAUGAUCACCAUUGAAGGUGAUAAGUGUGAUGAUGCUAAAUUCGUGUAAUGUGAUGUUCUUAGGGUUUUUGAUGGCUAAAAAUAGUGCUAUAAUAUCAUAAACAUGUUUCGAUUGAAAACUGAAUUCAAACAGCUUCUGAUCAGAAUUUACAGCCGAAUUGUAUUGGCUGUAACGUGGACAAAACCUGACAAAAACGUUUGUUUCUUGAGUCUAAAAUGUAAUUCCAGGAAAUAUCUUUAAAACCCCACUGGAAUCGCAUUUUUUCGACUAAAAUUGAGCGUUUUAUGAAUUUUUCCGUAUCAAAGGUUCAAGCUGCGUUUUCUAGCAGAAUUUGCAGCCCAUUACGAAUGUCAUAACUCAAUUUAGGAAUUGAGUUAUGAUCUCAAAUUCUUACUGUAGAGAGUAUUAAGUUAUUAGAAGAAUCUCCAAUUGGAAUUUCGUCAAUCGGAUAAACGAGGAAUUUUUAAUGAAUUUUUUCGUAAGCUGCAGUCCGAAGUGACGAAUCUGAUUGCAGCUUAUUAGAUGAAUUUUUACGAAUUUUUGGUAAAGAGUUAGAUCUUGAAAUUUUAACACAAGGGCUACCCCUCCGAGAGGUACGCCACAUAAAAAAAUCAUAAUUUUUGAAGACUUGUAAACAGGUUAAACAGGUCACCAAAAACAGCCUAUUUUCAGUGAUACGAAACUUGAUUGUUGAUAUUAUAAAUUAUGCCCACAAUGUUCAUAUGUUGAAAUUAUGAAUCAAACGCGUAAUUUCCUAGUUCGACUAAUUAUGUGUGAUGUGGGGUAAUACAAAUUUUAAUUAUGAAGUCGAUUUAGCUUAUAUGCACAUAUCAUAUAAUUAAGGGUAGUUAACUUUUGAAGAGUUAAACUAACCAUGGACGGAGUCGAAUAGUAGUUUUGACAUAGAAAACACGUAAGGUGGAAUAGUCGUGGUUAUAAUGACUAAUCUAACCACCUUGUGAAUUAUGAUGAUAAUUUGACUCUUGACAAGCUAGAUGGAGGCUUGGAAUGAAGCGGGUCAAACGGAGCAAGUACGAAAAGGAAAGCGUAAUUUGGAUGCGAGGUUGUAAAUACGACAAAAGCUAUAUUUGAAAUAUGGUUCCGACACGAAAUGAAACGGGUCGGGACAUAUAAAAUAAUGAUAAACCAUGUUUAAUGGUAAAAUGGGCGAAAUGGUAAUUGGUCACGAGAUGACCUAUAUAUAAAAUGAGUUUUUGAAUGGCUACUUAUUAAGGUAAGCCUAAACGAAUAAAAAGAGCAAAACGACGAAUUAGUCAUGUGUAGACGAAAAAGAGUUGAAGUUUAAAACAACACCAUUUAAUAUUAAGCACAAAAUAUUUGGUAGUCUAGACCAAACGGGUCAAAUGGUAAUAUUUAUACCAUUUGACAAUUAACGACUAAUAAGUGUAUGUCGAGUCUCAUGCUCGCAGGGUAAUUGGUUUAUGAAUUAGCGAGGCUAUGAAUUAGCAUAUUAUAGAGACAAGGUCUUAAAACGGGUCAAUAUGUUGACCCGAGCCAGGUACGCUUAUAUAUAUAGAUGUAUAGUUAAAAGUGUUUAACUUCCCUUCACGGGUCAAAAGGAGUAGAUAGGUAAAACGGGUUAAGAAUUCAUAAGAAACCCGUAAUUUGAACCUUGCACAUUAGUAAAUUGAUAUAACGUGAUAUGCAUGAUAUUUUGAAUAUGAUUGAUUGAUCUUUGAUAUUGGUUCAUAUGUAACAUAUUAGAAUUUUGAGAAACUAAUGUAUUGGUAUGUUAGAAAGAGCGAAAUUCGAGAUUUAGGCUUGAGUAUAAUGAACAAAGCAACCAAAAGAUGGAUUUACAGGGACUACCGUAAGUUACGGUAGUAUCGUAAGUUACGGUAGAGGUCAGGAGCUUACGGUGUGAGUCUACUGGUUUACGGUGGACCAUUAUUGGAAAUUGACCUUACGGUAGGGCCUGAAUGUUUAUAAAUUUUAUAUAAUUGUAAAUUUUCAAAUUCAUUUCGAUCGUAGUUUCGAUCAAGUAUCAUUUCUAAGCAUUCUAAUAUAAAUGUUUAUGUAAACAUUUCAGUCUUAGGUACUCAAGGAUUAUGGGUGACGAUCAAGCAACUUUUGAAGGACCGAACACAUACUCUUGAAGCUUCCGCAUAAAUCAACUCGGUUUAAACAAUGUUUAUGAUGUAAACUGUUUGCUAAACAACUUUUGAAAUGUUUAAACGACGUACUCAAUUAUGUUAUGUUGUAUUAUUUUAAAAUUGUAAAGUUUAAACAAACCCGUAUUUUUACAAAGUAUAUGUAGUCAUAAUUACAUGUUGUUUGUCGUAUACUUUACAAAAACCAUUAAAUAAUGACAAGGGUGUUACAAAUUGGUAUCAGAGCUCAUGGUUAAAGAGUAAAUUGUGUUUGGUUCGAGGCUUGAUCGCAAAUCCGGUAAGUACAUGUAUAUUAAUGGUUUGUUAUGUGUUGAAAUGUUGUGAACAACACAUAGGGUUAUCGUGUGAUACACGUUACCUCAAUUAAAUGAUAAAUAUAGUUGACAAAAUUGCGCGCGUUGACGCGUAUAGUAGAUAAGCCUUGUAUUAUAAUACGGGCGAUUAUUGAAGUUGAUAUUACUAAUUCUUGUAAAUGUUUUAAUUGAAGGACACUCGCAUCUGAAGAUAGCGAGAGUUUAACAAAUUGCGGAUAUGACGAUGGAACGGUUCGAGAUGUGACAAGAAGAGCAUACUCAUCAAGGACUUAAAUCGCGUAACGAUCGCAAAUAAGUAAUGGCAAGGAAUGCCCGUUGGGGCAAGCAUUACCAGGUGCACAUUUUAAACUUAUAGUACAAACAGUAAUAUGCAACAAAUACAUAGUGAAUGACAGUUGCAUAUAGAAUAUGAAACUUGGAAAACCUGGAUAGGUCCUAUCCAGGAUGACGUUUCCAAGAGAAAUUCAGUAGAGAAUAUGUAUUAUUCACAAAUUGUGAAUAACAAGACAAUAACAGAAUUCAGUUUAUAUAGAAACUUGGACGAGAGUGAUCAUCCAAGUAAGUAUUCUCAAUAUAAAUCCUAUUGAGAAAAGUAAUGAUCACAUCAACGAAUGUGAAUAAAUGUUUAUAAAAAGGGACAUUUUAAAUGUUCAAGGAUAAACGACUAAAACUAAUAAUUGUUAACUAACAAUUAAAUAAAGUU
rnacentral:lncRNA from 1 species